AAUAGUUUUGUGUUCGCGUUCGACACAAGAACUCGCUCAAGUAAAAGUAUUUUUUUUCAUUGGAAUAUUAAUACCAAUAACCAUCCAAUCGGCUACACAAUAUUCUAUUCUCUUGCAUUUUUCAUCGUUGUUGUGGUACAAAUCAAAGCAAAUUAUUCUUCAGAAUAUCUCCAGUAAAAUAGUAGUUAUCGUUCCUUUUACAAUGAUAAACAGUGACGCACAUUAUGCAAGCCCUAAAAAUGUAUUCGCUCAUAGUAGAAAUGGAGCACUAUGUUCACCAUUUCGUAAAAAAGUAAUAAUUUCGAUUGUGUUAUUUGUGCUGCUCUAUAAUUACUAUAGGGUGAGACAAAUUGUUACCAUUGAAAGACCGGUGAAUUCAAUCCAGGUUCGAGAACCUCCAAACGAUGACAGUUUGCGUAUGGGCUGGUCAUUCAAUAUAUCACGAAAUUAUGAUGAUCAUUUGCUGUGUAAAUGGACCGAACCGAUUGUAAACCCAAAUGCAACGAAUCCAUCAGAUCGUGGAGAGUACGGAAAGGCAUUCGUUCCAAGAAAAGACGAAGAAGAAUUGAUGGAACAACUCAAACAACAGCAUAAAUACAAUGUGUUUGCAUCGAAAAAGAUUUCAGUGCGUCGCAGUUUGCCAGACCAUCGGUAUCCCGAAUGUCGUAAAAUAAUUUAUCCAACCAUAUUGCCCACAACGAGUGUUAUCAUCGUAGUUCAUAAUGAGAUUUUGGAGACUCUAUUGCGUACUAUUUGGAGUAUUGUUGACCGUUCACCGCCCGAGCUCGUGAAAGAAAUAAUUUUGGUAGAUGAUGCAAGCACAUGGGCAGAAUAUAAUGAUUUAAGUGAUCAUAUUCCCGAGUUGCCCAUCCCAGUUAGAUUUAUUCGAAAUGGAAAACGUGAAGGACUAAUACGAGCACGUCUUAUAGGAGCGAAAAAUGCAAAGGGAAGCGUUCUCACAUUUAUUGAUGCUCAUAUGGAAUGUACUGAAGGAUGGCUACAACCGAUUCUCUCUCGUAUUGCAAGUGAUCGCUUUGUUGUUGCUGUGCCUUUACUUGAUGCUAUCAGUUCCGAUGACAUGGCAUACAAACCAUCUGCGACUACAUUUAUAAAUGGUCUCCGUUGGUACUUGAUAUUCGAAUGGAUGGAAGUUCCGGAAAGGGAGUUGAAUCGCACCGGACACGAUAGAACAGCCCCAGUGCGAACGCCGACGCAUGUUGGUUGUGCUUUCGCAAUUGAUCGCCAAUUCUUCUUUGAAAUUGGCUCGUAUGACGAAGGGAUGGACAUUUGGGGAUCUGAAAAUGUAGAACUUGCUUUUAGGACAUGGCAAUGUGGUGGAUCCUUGGAAGUCAUACCUUGUUCGCGCGUUGGCCAUCUGUACAGAAUAUCCACAUAUUCCUUCAAUGGCGAUGAUAAGGAAAUAGUAACAACGAGAAACAACAGAAGAUUAAUUGAUGUGUGGAUGGACGAAUAUGCGGCGUAUAUUUAUGCGGCCUAUCCUCAAUGGAAGAAAGUUUCAGCAGGAAAUCUCACAAACCGAUUGAACUUGAAAAAGCAGCUAAAGUGCAAACCAUUCCGCUGGUAUUUGGAGAAUAUUUACCCUGAAAGUUUGUGGCUGAGAGAAUACAUAUCUAUAGGCCAAAUUAAAAGAGCCUCCACGAACAAAUGCUUGGAUGCACACCCAUCAAACUAUUAUUAUUCAUGCCAUGGAAUGAGUGGGAAUCAACUUUUCUUAUUUUCGAAAAAUGGUCAAAUUUUGACGGUCGAGAAAUCUUGUGUGAGCCUUUCCAACGAUCAUAAAUCCAUUAUGUUGAGGCCAUGUUUGGAUAAAGAUAAUCUGCAGAUAUGGACGUAUGAACGUGAAAAACAAUCGAUUUGCCUCAAUUCAUUUGGCUUAUGCAUCCGAAGCAAUGGGGACAACGUUACCGUAGACGAAUCGACUAAUGCAGAUGACAAGAGAUUUAAGUGGGAACUAAGCUCGAAUCUAUGAACUAUAAAUGAUGUUGAUUGACUGGAAGUUAUUAAAAUUCUGACCAAUGUAAAAAUGUUCGAAUAAAAACUCACUACCAACCAUAAUGUAUUAGCCAAGAUUUUGAAAAAUUGAGUCUGAAGAACAGAACAAAAAAAUCAACCGAAGAACAUUGGAAGGAUUUCGUGUUCUGGAAAUACAAUUUUAAACGGAAAAAUCAAUUUUGAAAUCGCAUUCGACUGUAAACUAGGCUUAAGCCAAUCAUGCCAAUGCUAACUUGAAGCAAAGGAUAAAUGAAAUCGAAAUAUAAUAUAAACGAUCAUUGUA